CGUCUGCACCAGCACUAAUGGUCCCCCCGGACUGUCCAUGGCAACUGACAAUUGCCGUGGAAGGUCCCCCCGGACCGUCCACGGCAGAAAAUGUUGCCGUAGACAAUCCGGGGGGACUCAUUUACGGGGGGACCAGUUAUCGUAUGACAGUACUAAUUAAUUGGCCACAACACAAUAAUUGCUGAGUCAUUAAAGAUGGAGGAAUUGUCUAGGUAAGAGAAAUAGAGACUGAGAGGUCAUCUGCCUCGUGGAAGCAAUCGCAAAUCUGAAGAAGCGCUUUGUAAUCCAGGUCAGGGGCGUACACAGGGUGGUGCUUAGGGUGCUCCAGCACCCCCAUCCAGACUCUGGUGCUCCAGCACCCUAUCCAGACUCAGAGAAGCUCAAGUAGAUAGUUCAACCAUCACUGGCUGGCUAGAAGGAAACUACACUUACUGCAGCUAUCUACAGCUUAAUAGUGAUAGUUACAAUAACUUUAUACCAGUUAGAUCUAGCUAGCUAGCUAAGCUGGCCUAAAAAACUUACUUUUUUUCGAUGUUACUGGGAUCCAUGGGAACUAGUAAAGAGUGGGGAGGGGCUCAAUAAUAAGGCUAGGCAGCAGGAAGUGGUUUGCUGUAUCAGAACACUUGAGCUUGCUUCACAACAUGCAGCACAACAAGGUUCUUGGAUCCAGGUACAUGAGGUACUGGUGGUCAUACUUUGUACGCUGCCUGUCACCUCCUGGUAAGCUGAUCAAUCUUUUAGUGGCCUAAAAAGAAAAGAAUCAAGACUGUUGUCAGAUCAAGCAAAGGAACUGUCACUGGAAAAAUGGUCCUGAAAAAACUGGUCCGGGGACCAAUUUUUUCAAUGAAAAUUUCGGUCCGGGGACUGAAAUUUUUAGAAAAAAUUGGUCCCCCCCUGAAAUAAUCAGUCCGGCUAGACAAAAAGACGUCUCUGGACCAGGAGCGUAUGUAGGGCAACCUAGGGUCCUCUCCACAUCAUAUUAUGACAUACAGAUACGCACAUACCCAUGUACAGGGAUGCAGUCACAUAAUAUUCAGGAACUAUAUAGCAGCCUAGCUUGUCAGCCAGGUGUACUAGAUAGAGCUGCAGCAUGUGAACCUUGAGGCCUCCACAUUCUUAAGACUCAGUGUUUCAAAAGAAAGAUCUAUUAACGAUUGACAGUUUUACAGCUUGAUAAAAUAAUGUUACUACUACUACGUAUAAUUAUAAUG